UACGUAGGGGGCAAGCGUUGUCCGGAAUUAUUGGGCGUAAAGCGCGUGUCGGCGGCCAGAAAAGUCCGCUGUGAAAACUCGAGGCUCAACCUCGAGACGUCGGUGGAAACCGUAUGGCUAGAGUCCGGAAGAGGAGAGUGGAAUUCCUGGUGUAGCGGUGAAAUGCGCAGAUAUCAGGAAGAACACCCGUGGCGAAGGCGGCUCUCUGGGACGGUACUGACGCUGAGACGCGAAAGCGUGGGGAGCGAACAGG
rnacentral:rRNA from 1 species